CAGGACUGUGCUCAACUAAAGAUAUUAAGGCUUGUAGUAGAGGCUGUAGUGAUUUUCUACCUGGAAAAAUCUGUUCUAGUGACUUUAAACUAAACAGGAGGACAUUGUUGGUUUUCCAUUUUUGAAAAUGUGGAUGGGAGUGAAUGAGAGCAUGGCAGUUUCUGAACAAGUAGCACACUAAUCCAUUGUUUGAGAGGAUCUGAUUUCUGGUGGGUUCAUGACUUGUGCUGAUAAUGGUAAGUUUGGGAGUUGUGGCUGCACAGACACCAACACUGUCAUUUCCAGCAGUGGCAAUUCUCCCACCAGAGAACCCU